CCCAUGCCGGACUCACUGGAGCUUCCUGUCUCCCAGGUGGGUCGGAUCCUGCAGCGUGACCAGCAGCGGAGCCGGGCGCUGGUGCAGCUGCAGCGCAGUGAGGAUGAGGAUGUCCUGGCGCUGGACUACGAUGCCGUCUGCCACUACGUGGGGGGCACCGAAGACGACUGAGCCCCAUUCUGCCCCUUCUGUGGGCCAGGGGAUGGGGGCGUGGCCUCUCUGGGACGUGGCUGGACCUUGCUGGAGUUCGGCACUGGGAAACAGGUCGCCAUGGCCGGGCCUGAUGCUAGAACAACACUGGCUGGCUCCAGUGGGUGCUGGAGCAGAUGCAGCAAGACCUUGAUUGUGGCCAGCUGGGCUUUAGAACCAGGCUCCCACUGGAAUGAGAAGCGAGUUCUAGGCUGAGCCGAAAGCUGGGUUGUGGAGCAGAAAGGAUGGAUCCGUCAAUGGGUUUUUAAUGGGCUGUACAGAAAGCCGCAGUAUUCUAGAGCAUUCGAUGGGUUCUAGAGCACACGAGGCUUUGGGUUCGCAGGGAAGCCUCAAAGCGGGUUCUAGAGUGAAGACGACCUGUUCUAGAGAGUUCUAGAUCAUGGCGGUUUUUAAAUCCUUCUAGCGUGGGGUUUAAACGGUCCAGAGCGACUCUGGAGUGACCGUGUCAGGGGGGUUUUGGAGACAAACGGGCUCUAGAGGCAAAGUGGAUGUGGGCCCUGGAGCUGGUUUACACUAGGCCCAGGUGCAGUGUGCUGGGGGGGAGGGGUGUUACAGCAGAGAGGGGGCUUGGUUCUAGUUAGUCAUUUUCAGUCAAUGGCCUUUGGAGCACCGGGCCUGGGCUCUAGAUCAAGUCCGGUGCCUGCCAUGUGGGGGUGAGCCCGGAACCUGCCCUUUCUGGAGCACCGGGCCUGGGCUCUAGAUCAAGUCCGGUGCCUGCCCUGUGGGGGUGAGCCCGGAACCUGCCCUUUCUGGAGCAGUGGGCCGAGCUGGUGGUUUUAGUGGCAGUAUUGAAAGGGAGGCAGCCCCUGCCCCAUGGGAGAGGGAGAUAGCGGGCUAGGGAAGCCUGCGGCUUCAUGCCUCAGCUGGGGGCCAGGGCCAAAACCGUGCUCUGCGGGGGGGGUCUUGUUGAAUGUGGGGCCUCAGCAUGAGCCCUGGCAGGGUGCCCCCCAUGCCAGCUUCCAAGAUGGCUGCCAGGGCUUCACAACUCCUUGCCUGUGGGCACUUUGUAAAUCAAGGCGGGAUAAAAGUUGUAAAUAAA